rnacentral:rRNA from 1 species
UCGGGAAUUUUGGGCAAUGGGCGAAAGCCUGACCCAGCAACGCCGCGUGAAGGAUGAAGUAUUUCGGUAUGUAAACUUCGUAAGAAUAGGAAGAAUAAAUGACGGUACUAUUUAUAAGCUCCGGCUAACUACGUGCCAGCAGCCGCGGUAAUACGUAGGGAGCAAGCGUUGUUCGGAUUUACUGGGCGUAAAGGGCGCGUAGGCGGCGCGGUAAGUCACUUGUGAAAUCUCUGAGCUUAACUCAGAACGGCCAAGUGAUACUGCAGUGCUAGAGUGCAGAAGGGGCAAUCGGAAUUCUUGGUGUAGCGGUGAAAUGCGUAGAUAUCAAGAGGAACACCUGAGGUGAAGACGGGUUGCUGGGCUGACACUGACGCUGAGGCGCGAAAGCGUGGGGAGCAAACAGGAUUAGAUACCCCAGUAGUCCCUGAGCGGGCUGGCAAGGCGCAU